rnacentral:RNase_P_RNA from 1 species
GAAGCCUGCCAGACUGUCGCUGGUGCAAUCUGGGAAACCAGGCACUGGAGGAACGUCCGGACUGCAUAGGGCAGCGUAGCAGCUAACGGCUGUCCAUUGAAAGCCCAGCGCGCAAGCGGUGGGUAUAAGGUGAGGAUUAGAGCAACAGAGACGAGCCGAUUUAGUUCGGGUGAAACGGGCAAUCUCUACGCGCAGCAAUACCAAGUAGGCCAACGUUGACGGGGCCCCCGGAGUUGGCGGGUAGGUAGCACCGAGCUGUUGGGUGACCAACAGCCCAGAUUAAUGACAGUCACAUGGGGAAAAGUCGAAAGACCGGCCCCCAUGCACAGAAUCCGGCUUAUCGGUGGGCUUCACAC